ACGGGAGGCAGCAGUAGGGAAUUUUCGGCAAUGGGGGGAACCCUGACCGAGCAACGCCGCGUGAAGGAAGAAGUAAUUCGUUAUGUAAACUUCUGUCAUAGAGGAAGAACGGUGGAUAUAGGGAAUGAUAUCCAAGUGACGGUACUCUAUAAGAAAGCCACGGCUAACUACGUGCCAGCAGCCGCGGUAAUACGUAGGUGGCGAGCGUUAUCCGGAAUUAUUGGGCGUAAAGAGGGAGCAGGCGGCACUAAGGGUCUGUGGUGAAAGAUCGAAGCUUAACUUCGGUAAGCCAUGGAAACCGUAGAGCUAGAGUGUGUGAGAGGAUCGUGGAAUUCCAUGUGUAGCGGUGAAAUGCGUAGAUAUAUGGAGGAACACCAGUGGCGAAGGCGACGAUCUGGCGCAUAACUGACGCUCAGUCCCGAAAGCGUGGGGAGCAAAUAGGAUUAGAUACCCUGGUA
rnacentral:rRNA from 1 species